rnacentral:pre_miRNA from 1 species
AGUGGAAGGGCUGAGUUACAUGGUAGGUUUGUGUUUAAUUUUUUAAGCAACUCCUAAACUGCUUUUCAAAGUGAUUACACUAGUUUACAUUCACACUAGCAGC